rnacentral:rRNA from 1 species
AAAUUGAAGAGUUUGAUCAUGGCUCAGAUUGAACGCUGGCGGCAGGCCUAACACAUGCAAGUCGAACGGUAGCACAGAGAGCUUGCUCUCGGGUGACGAGUGGCGGACGGGUGAGUAAUGUCUGGGAAACUGCCCGAUGGAGGGGGAUAACUACUGGAAACGGUAGCUAAUACCGCAUAACGUCGCAAGACCAAAGAGGGG